UACGAACUGUGCGACCGUUAUUCGGAAUCACUGGGCUUACGGGGUGCGUAGGCGGCUUAGCAAGUCAGGUGUGAAAGCCCCCGGCUCAACCGGGGAACUGCGCUUGAAACUGCUGAGCUCGAGUCAGCUAGAGGUACACGGAACUUCCAGUGGAGCGGUGAAAUGUGUUGAUAUUGGAAGGAACACCGGAGGCGAAAGCGGUGUACUGGGACUGGUCUGACGCUGAGGCACGAAAGCCAGGGGAGCGAACGGG
rnacentral:rRNA from 1 species